GUCGCGAAUCUUCCGCAAUGGGCGAAAGCCUGACGGAGCGACGCCGCGUGUGGGAUGAAGGCCUUCGGGUUGUAAACCACUGUCACGCGUUAUGAACACCGGGGAGACAACAUCAAGCCGGAUGACAAAGGCGCGAGAGGAAGCCACGGCUAACUCUGUGCCAGCAGCCGCGGUAAGACAGAGGUGGCAAGCGUUGCUCGGAGUUACUGGGCAUAAAGGGCGCGUAGGCGGUCGUGCACGUCGAGGGUGAAAUCCCCGGGCUCAACCCGGGAACUGCCUUCGAUACGACGCGACUGGAGUGCGGGAGGGGAGAGUGGAACUCCUGGUGGAGCGGUGAAAUGCGUAGAUAUCAGGAGGAACGCCGGUGGCGAAAGCGACUCUCUGGUCCGCAACUGACGCUGAGGCGCGAAAGCCAGGGGAGCAAACGGGAUUAGAUACCCUAGUAGUCC
rnacentral:rRNA from 1 species